AUUGUUUUCUAUUCGUUCUCACUGAAUCCUCACAGUGACCCUGUCAGUCACAUACCAGCCUAUCCCCGUUGGACAAAUGAGGAAACUAAGACUUGGAGAUUAAGUGACGUGUCCAGUUAGAGCUGUGAGUGUUGGUUCCAAGCUGACAUUUAUUGAGCACUCACUGCACGCCAGGCUGUGUACCAGUGCUUCACAUUGAAUCGUCAAACAAUACCAUGAGGACAAUCUGGGCUAAGACAAGUGGCAUUUAGCACCAUGAGACUGAAUGAGAUCACCAAUGGAUUAAUGAAGAUCGGGAACAGAUUUAGGGACUGAGCCCUAGGACCCUCCAACAUUUCGAGGUGAAGGAGGUAAGGAGGUCCUAGCAAAGGGGACCCUGAGGAAUAAUCAGGAGAAUGUAGUGUCAUGGAAGCCAAGAGGAAAAAGUGUUUCAAGGAAGAACGAAAGAUCAGCUGAUUCUUGCUAAGCGGUCAAGUAAGAUGAAGACGGAGUGAUGACCAUUGGGUUUAACCACAAUGGAGGGAGCUGGUGACUUUAACAAGGAUUGCAACAAUUUCUGAAGGGAAAAAGGAGUCCUCGUGUUGGAGCAGGUUGGAAACCACUGAGCUGGGCUGUCAAGGCAGCAUGUCAUUUCCCCUUUAGCAGAGUGGGAGUCAUGAGACCUGAGGUCAGGUUCCAGCCCCUCCCCUGGGUGGCUGGAUGAUCUUUGGAGCAGCCCCAUGUGACUUGGAGAGCUUCGGUUUCCUCAUCCUGAGCAGAGAUCAUGGAAAUUAUUUGGCAGGAGUGUCAAGAAGAUUAAAUGAGAUAAUGAAGGGGCUCUGAAAGCUGAUGUGCUGCACAAAUAUAAUAUUGCAGAUGGCACAAAAUUCAAAGAGGUACAAAGGAGCAUAUAGGGGAAUUCCCUGGCAGUCCAGUGGUUGGAACUUGGUGCUUUCACUGCCGAAGGCGUGGGUUUGAUCCCUGGUCGGAGAGCUAAGAUCCCGCAAGCCAUGGGGCAAGGCCAAGAAAAAGGCGGGGAGGGGCAUACAGUGCAAAGCCUCUUUACCUCUGUCCCAACCACCUGAGUCCCCUCCCCAGAAACACAAACUUUGAUCACAACCUAUCUGCAGGAUCUUAGUUUCCCGACCAGGGAUCGAACCCACGCUCCCUGCAGUGGAAGUGCGGAGUCUUAACCACUGGACCACCAGGGAAGUCCCAGCUUGGUGAAUUUCUAUCCAUGACGAAGAAUGUCACAGAACAGCAUUUCCUACCUGAUGCUCCACAGACCCAAGCCCCAAGAGGAUCCCUCAAGGGAUUUCAUAGUGAAAUAUGUUUAGGAAAUGCCAGUCUCUUCCUGAUGAUUCAGAACACACACUAGUAAAUUAAAGACUCUGAGACGUUCUCCAGGACAGAAGCCCAUUUAAGUUGGCGUGAGCCAGUGCUCACAGUGCUCAGUCCCAAACAGCUGGGGAGACCCCUAUGAACAGCAAGCAAAACGGCCCUGGUGCUGUGUGGGAUCAGUUUGGGAAACACUGGUUAUAGCAGACUCAUGUGGGAAGAGCUGAGUGGAAAAUGCAGGUUCUGGACUUCCCUGGUGGCACAGUGGUUAAGAAUCCGCCUGCCAAUGCAGGGCACACGGGUUCAAGCCCUGGUCCAGGACGAUCCCACUUGCCACGGAGCAACUAAGCCCGUGCGCCACAACUACUGAGCCUGCGAGCCACAACCACUGAUCCCAUGAGCCACAACUACUGAGCCUGCACGCCUAGAGCCCGUGCUCCACAACAAGAGAAGCCACCGCAAUGAGAAGCCCGCGCACCGCAAUGAAGAGUAGCCCCUGCUUGUCGCAACUAGAGAAAGCCCGCAUGUAGCAACGAAGACCCAACGCAGACAAAAAAAUUAAUUAAUUAAAAAAAAAAUGCAGGUUCUGAGAGUCUCUGUGGGACGAUUCAAACUCGCAAACCAACCUAUGCGUAUAUUUGUAUUUGGAAAAAGUCUAGCAAGACACAUCCCAGAACUUUAGCGGUGGCUGGGUGGUGAGAUUAUAGGUGAUUUUUAUUUUCAUUUCUUUGUUUUUGUCUGUUAGCUUAUUUGGGUUUUCUAAACUGCCUUUCAUUGCUGUGUAUAGUUUUUAUAACUGUAAAAAAGAAAAAAAUUGUUAAGACGACGGAGGGAUGGCUGAAGGCACGUGCAGGCGCUGCCGCACCUGGAGGAGCUGGGUCUCCGGCUCUUCGGCUCGCAGAGAUGCCAGGCCCUUAUUUAGGCAGAGUCACCCCAGCUCGCAUUCCAGCGGGAAUCCUUCCUAGCGCAUUCCUCCUCCAGCACCGGGCGUCCAGCUGCAGCCCGGCUCCUCCCUCCCAGGGCCUCCCUCUCCUCUGGUAGCCGCCGCCACCGGCCCAAGCCAGGCUGCACAUCUGGACCUCAUUAGGGCCCGACAGCACCAAAGCCGGCACAUCUGGCCACCGCGCGGCAGAGUGCGCGGCAGGGCAGCGGAGGGGAAGGGGCACGUCAGGACAGGGGCGCCCGGCGCGCAGCUGGACGUGGGAAGGUGGCGGGCGGCUGGCCGCAGACAGUGCACUGCCGGCUGGGCUGGCCCUGUCUGCCCCGGCGUGCAGCAGAGUAGCACCCUCGCUGGUAGGAGAGCCAGGGCCCCCUGUGGCCUCCCAGACUGAGGGGGGCAGGCCCGAAGGAGAAGCAGGAGCUCUGGACUCUAGACAUGGUGCUCUUUCCCUCGAGAGGCCUGAGGCUGGGUCUGGGGGGCCUGCCAUGCUGUGGAGCAGAGGGCAGCUUCAGGCCCCCUUGCAAAACAGAAAGGAACAGGAAAGGGGAUUGCCUAGGCUCACGGUGGCUGAGCCUUGGGUCUGCAGGUCAGGAGGCAGGGUCUUCUACAUCAGAACAAGCAUACUUCUGUUUGAGAUGAGAAAGGAGGGAGGUGCAAAGAGACAAGAUGGAAACAGCAUCCCCACUGCAUUUUCCUUACACCAGGACACGCCCAGGUACCUGGCUCUACCCCUGUGUGCCAUUAUUUGUCCCCUUUGGGGCCUGUUCAUCCAAGUCAUUAGCAGCCUUGCCAGUUCUUUCCUUGAGACAGCAGCAGAUGCUCCUGACAUCCUUUCCAAAGCAAGGCAGAGAUCAAAGAAAACAGCCAGUCAAUAAAACGGAAAGCCUAUCAGCUCAGCCGUCACUCCCCCACUUUGUCCUAGGGUUUCAAGUCCUUGCCUGGCUCUUACCUGACAGUCCUCUCAUCCCAGGAACCACCAGAUUCCCCUGCUUCUGCUCUCCAUCUCCCCACCUCCUCCCACCCACCAGCCCCUGCCCACCACAGCGAGUGGCUUACCCAGGGGUCCACAUGCCCACACUAGUACCCUCGGAGGAAUCCUCACAAAGCUCUAGCGGGUGCCAGUUGUUGGAGGAGAAGCCAAGGAGUACAGCAGAAAGUUCAAUGGCUUCGAACCCAACAGACAGAGUCCCAAAUCCUGCUGAUUAACCCCUCUGAGCACUGGUUUUUUCCACCCAUGAGAUGACGAUAAUACCUCUUAGAGAACUGUUUUAAGCUCUGUGCUAGAAAUAUAAUUCUAUUAUAUGUUUCUCCAAUAGAAAUAUAGUGUAAUCACACAUGUAAUAGGAGGGGGUAUUUUUACACUUUUAAUUUUGGAAACAUUUUAGAUUUUUUAAAAAAAUAAAUUUAUUUGUAUUUAUUUUUGGCUGUGUUGGGUCUUCAUUGCUGCACGCGGGCUUUCUCUAGUUGCAGUGAGCGGGGGCUACUCUUCCUUGCGGUGCGCAGGCUUCUCAUUGCGGUGACUUCUCUUGUUGCAGAGCACAGGCUCUAGGCGCGCAGGCUUCAGUAGUUGCAGCACGCAGGCUCAGUAGUUGUGGCUCGGGGGCUCUAGAGCGCAGGCUCAGUAGUUGUGGCGCACAGGCUUAGCUGCUCCACGGCAUGUGGGAUCUUCCCAGACCAGGGCUCAAACCCGUGUCCCCUGCAUUGGCAGGCAGAUUCUUAACCACUGCGCCACCAGCAAAGUCUGGAAACAUUUUAGAUUUAUAGGAGCGCUGAAAAGAUUGUACAGAGAGUUCCAGUAAACUCUUCACCCAGCUUCCCCUAAGGUUAACAUCUUGCAUAACUAUGGUAUAUUUGCCCCCAAAAUAAGAAAUUAACAAUGGCACAACACUAUCAACUUUAUUCAGAUUUCAGCAGUUUUCCCAAAACAAAUGUAACUUUAAAUUUCCUACUAGCUACAUUAAAAAAGAACAGGUAAGGGAAUUCCCUGGCGGUCCAGUGGUUAGGGCUCGGCACCUCCACUGCAAGGGCAGGGCACAUUUGGCCUACCCUUACUUCUCAAAAUUCACCCAAUGCUAAUUUGUAAAUAAGUAAAUAGAUAAGAGAGAGAAAGAGGACUUAUUUUUUGAUUCACAGUGGGGGCGGGGGACCGGCCAUGUAGUUCAUAAUAUUUGUGUCCACAGGUUGGGACACCCUCCCCCAGUCUUAAGGUGCUUAGGAAACCUAAUGAAUUAUGGAAUUACGGAGCACCACUUGUGCUAAUAUAGAAUCAGGGCCGAGGGAGUUAAGUGUCUCGGGAUAUUUAUAACAAGCCGUGGUAGUCUGGUGAGUCACUGCUCUCCUCUACAAGAAGACACACCUGCCUCCCAGGAGGAGAAGCUGCUGCUUACCGGUCAGCCCCCCUUCUCCGCCCAGAAUAGAGACACACACACUGUUGGGGAGCCCUCCUCCCUUCCCUGGGCUCCCCUGGGACACUGAUCAAUGCUACCCAUCUCCCUCCCCCAUUUUAGCAGAAUUUCCCAGCAGCUUCCCACUUCCCAGACUAAGGCUGUGCUGUCCACUGAUGAUGCUGCAGACUGCCUGCACCCUGGGAACAUCUUAUUCCAAAGGGAUUCCUUCUGGGAAGGUUUUCUACGGUAAAGCCCAGCUAUGCAACCAGGCUCUUGAGCAGCCUCCAUCUGGGGCCAAUUCUUCCAGGAUGCAGAGAGGCAAAGGCCAGAGAGGAGAGAGGAACAUUGAGCCCUUUCUCUGUGCCAAGCCCUGGGCAGGGCACUUGGCACCCCUCAGCUCACUAAAGUAACACAAUAAGCUGGGUGAUGAGUUCCAUCAACCUGUCUUUUACAAACUUAGAGACUUAGAGGAAAGCAGCUGGAAAGGAGCACACAGCUAAAAAGUUCUAAAGCCAGGGUUCCAACCCAGGCCUGUGGAACUCCGAAGCUCUUGUUUUUAUAAGAUCAUCUCAAGCUAUUGGACUAGUGGUACAAAACAUACAUAUAUCACAUAACCCUUGAAAUAUUGAGAGCAGGGCAAAACAGUGAAAGAGGAAUAACCUCCAAAUUAAUAGAGGGAAGCAUUCA